UACGUAGGGGGCAAGCGUUGUCCGGAAUCAUUGGGCGUAAAGAGCGCGUAGGCGGCCCUGUAAGUCCGCUGUGAAAGUCAAGGGCUCAACCCUUGAAUGCCGGUGGAUACUGCAGGGCUAGAGUCCGGAAGAGGCGAGUGGAAUUCCUGGUGUAGCGGUGAAAUGCGCAGAUAUCAGGAGGAACACCGAUGGCGAAGGCAGCUCGCUGGGACGGUACUGAGCUGAGGCG
rnacentral:rRNA from 1 species